rnacentral:rRNA from 1 species
CCUACGGGUGGCAGCAGUGGGGAAUAUUGGACAAUGGGGGCAACCCUGAUCCAGCCAUGCCGCGUGUGUGAAGAAGGCCCUCGGGUUGUAAAGCACUUUCAGUGAGGAAGAACGCCUGGUGGUUAAUACCCAUCAGGAAAGACAUCACUCACAGAAGAAGCACCGGCUAACUCCGUGCCAGCAGCCGCGGUAAUACGGAGGGGGCGAGCGUUAAUCGGAAUUACUGGGCGUAAAGCGCGCGUAGGUGGCUUGAUAAGCCGGUUGUGAAAGCCCCGGGCUCAACCUGGGAACGGCAUCCGGAACUGUCAAGCUAGAGUGCAGGAGAGGAAGGUAGAAUUCCCGGUGUAGCGGUGAAAUGCGUAGAGAUCGGGAGGAAUACCAGUGGCGAAGGCGGCCUUCUGGACCGACACUGACGCUGAGGUGCGAAAGCGUGGGUAGCAAACAGGAUUAGAUACCCUUGUAGUC